GGAACGGGGGGCUGCAAAGCAGGGGGUGCCGCGACGCGGUGCAAGUGGGAAGGGGGAGCUGCAAAGUGGGGUGCAACUGGGAAGGGGGGGUGCUGCGAGAUGGGGUGUAACUGGAAAGGGGGGGGUUGAAAUGGCGCAACUGGGAAGGGGGCACUGCAAAGUGGGGUGUGCUGUGAAACGGGGUGCAACUGGAAAGGGGGGGGUGUUUUGAAACGGGGUGCAACUGGAAAGGGAGCACUGCCAAGCGGGGUGUGCUAUGAAACGGGGUGCAGGUGGAACGGGGACACUGCAAAUUGGGGUGCCACUGGGAAGGGGUGUGUGUUUUGAAACUGCAACUUGAAAGGGGCACUGGAAAGCGGGAUGCAACUGGAAAGGGGGCAGUGCAAAGUGGGGUGUGUUGUAAAACGGUGCAGCUGGAAAGGGGGGCACUUCAAAGUGGGGUGCGAUUGGAAAGGGGGGUUGCAGGGCUGAGGGGCGUGCUGCAAAGUGGGGCGCAGUUGGAAAGAGGGCACUGGAAGGGGGGUGAGGGGGGCUUUGCAAAGUGGGGUGGAACUGCAAAGGGCGUGCGCAGGGGCAAGGGGUGCACUGCAAGGCGGGGUGCAGCUGCAAAGCAGGGUUAGAACCCAAAAGGGGGAGCAGAGGAGCAGGAGGGCACUACUGCAAGGCAGGGGGCGACUGCAAGGGGGGUGCAUGGGUCAAGGGGUGCGGUGCAAAGCGGGGUGCAGUGCAAAGGGUGGGGCAGGGAAACGAGGGGGUGCUAGAGCAAGGUGGAGUGCAGUGCAGGGCGGGGUUCGGCUGAAAAGGGUGCACGGAGGAGAAGCGUGCGGCGGGCACGGGUGCAAGCCUCAGAGCUUCCAGCGUGAUGGUGCUUGGGGAAAGCUGCAGGAAACGCCGACGUUCGUCCCCUGGCAGACCUGGGCGGGAAGAGGGAGCACGCCGUGUUGCUGGUGGAAAUGAUCAACGACAAACGUGACCCAUCAAUUAACGUGGAUCACGAGUCUGAGCAGGAACCAGCUAGGCCAGGUCCAACUCUCAGGCAGUUUUAUUCCUUGCUCCCUGUCUGUUUCUUGAGACUGAAAAUCCAGCCACCCUAUUUCAUGAGGAUACUCUCCGAGGUGGUUAUACGGCACGACAUUGGGCGCUGGGAAGAGAAUGCCUUGUUUACAUUCCCCAACGUGCCUCCAGUUCCCUUUGUGACCACAGCGAGUUCCUUAAACUCUGCAGCUCUGCAAUCCAGAAUAACAAGCAAAACUUACAUGUCAAGGGCAUCUGAAGCCUGACGGAUUUUUGCGUGGAGCUUCAGAUCCCCAUGAGGACGGCAGCUGAGAAAAGAAGAUAAAACCUUGUUGUAAGGGUGGUAGUGAUGGAUACCGAUUAUUAUUUGUUUAAUUAAAAGAGCCUGGACAGACGCAGAGGCAACAAUUAAUUAUCUCCUGUAAAAACUUCGACCACAGCUAAAUAAAUUAAUGGGUUAUGAGAUGAAGACA
rnacentral:lncRNA from 1 species